GCCGAAAUAGCUCAGUGGUAGAGCAUUUAGACUUGUACUCUGAAAGGGUCCCUUGGUUCGAUUCCAGGUUUCGGCA